UGAGCUGUGGAUAGCGGAGAAAUUCCAAUCGAACUCGGAGAUAGCUGGUUCUCCUCGAAAUAGCUUUAGGGCUAGCGUCGGGUAAUUGAGUAGUGGAGGUAGAGCACUGAAUGGGCUAGGGGCUGACAACAGUUACUGAACCCUAUCAAACUCCGAAUGCCAUAUACUUGUACCCCGGCAGUCAGACUACGAAUGAUAAGAUCCGUGGUCAAAAGGGAAACAGCCCAGACCAUCAGCUAAGGUCCCAAAGUGUAAGUUAAGUGGGAAAGGAUGUGGGAUUUCUAAGACAACUAGGAUGUUGGCUUAGAAGCAGCCACUCAUUUAAAGAGUGCGUAAUAGCUCACUAGUCGAGAGAUCCUGCGCCGAAGAUGUAACGGGGCUCAAACUUACCACCGAAGCUAUGGAUGUGUACUUUGUACACGUGGUAGAGGAGCUUUCUGUACAGGUUGAAGUCAUACCGUAAGGAGUGGUGGACAGUACAGAAGUGAGAAUGCUGGCAUAAGUAGCGAAAAACAAGUGAGAAUCUUGUUGACCGAAUAUCUAAGGUUUCCUGGGGAAGGCUCGUCCUCCCAGGGUUAGUCGGGACCUAAGCCGAGGCCGAAAGGCGGAGGUGAUGGACAACUGGUUGAUAUUCCAGUACCACCAUAAUGCGUUUGACAAAUGGGAUGACGCAGGAGGAUAGGAUG
rnacentral:rRNA from 1 species